rnacentral:lncRNA from 1 species
AUGGGUUCCUCAAGGAACCACUUUUCAUAUUUAUUUAUCCAGCUUCCACUGCCCCAUUCUUGGAACAGCUCCUGCCUUUGGCCUCAUUUUUUUUGUGUGGCGCAAGUGGUAAAGAACCCGCCUGCCAGUGCGGAAGAGAUAAGAGACACAGGUUCAAUCCCUGGGUCGAGAAAACCCCCUGGACUAGGAAAUGGCAACCCACUUCAGUAUUCUUGCCUGGAGAAUCCCAUAAACAGAGGACCCUGGCAGGCUACAGUCCAUGGGGUCGCAAAGAGCCAGACACGACUGAGCACACACGGGGACCUACGGCCCCUAGCAGCAGAGAAGGCAAUGGCACCCCACUCCAGUACUCUUGCCUGGAAAAUCCCAUGGACGGAGGAGCCUGGUCUGCUGCAGUCUACGGGGUCGUGAAGAGUCGGACAGGACUGCGCGACUUCCCUUUCACUUUUCACUUUCAUGCAUUGGAGAAGGAAAUGGCAACCCACUCCAGUGUUCUUGCCUGGAGAAUCCCAGGGACGGGGGAGCCUGGUGGGCUGCCGUCUAUGGGGUCACACAGAGUCGGACACGACUGAAGCGACUUAGCAGCAGCAGCAGCAGCAGCAGCGGCCUCUAGCAGAGAGGAGGACUGCGCAUGCAGUUGGUGUCUAGAGGUCUUCACAGAGUCUUUAAAUCAUGCUUCCUUUAACAGUCUGUAAGAUCUGCUCUGGGAGAAUCAAAGGUCAGUUACUUGACCGGUUCAGGGCCCCAUAAGGAGGAUCUGAGACGUCAUGGUGUCAGGUCAUGAGGUUAGAUUCAGGAGAAGAGCAAGACUCUAGGAACUCCUCUGUGACAUGGCUCAUUACAUGAUUCAGAUGGUCUAGGGGAAAAUGGACCACGGCACACAAAGCCCCACAUAAUACCAGCGCUAAUUCCACCCAAACAACAGAGUCCAGGGCUUCCUCAGUGCUUACUUAAUUUGGUUUUUAUUCACUCAUGUUAGUUUAUGUUUUAGAUGAAGAGCUUCCAGAACGCCGGAUUCAGGACUGUAUGGAUGGAACUGUGACCGCCCCCGCUUCCCCUGCCCAAAUUCCUAUGUUGAAACCCUAACACCCAGUACCUCAGAAUGUGACUGUUUUUGGACACAGGGCCUUCUAAAGAUGUACUUAAGGUAAAAUGAAGUCAUGUGGGUGGGCCCUAACCUAAAUAUGACUAGUGUCCUUAAGAAGAGAUUCGGACUCGGAAUCGCACGGGGGAAGAUAACGUGAAAAUACCAGAAAAAGACGGCCAUCUGUAAGCCAAGGAAAGAGACUUUGAAAUAAACUAACCCAGUUGACACUUUGAUCUUGAACUUCUAGCCUCUACAACUGUGAAGAAAUCAAUUUCUAUUGUUUAAGCCACCCAGUCAGUAGUAUUUAUUAUGACAGCUCUAGAAGACAAAUACAAGGUCUGUUUAAAUUUCUAUGAAUAGUAUCAAGUCUCAAGACCGUAUGCAAAAUAGAUGCAUUUAAUGGAGCAGGAAAAAUACAACAGAUGGAUAGAAAUCUUUUUUUUUCCCCCUUUCACUGGCAGGUAUGGCAUUUAAAGGCUAGGAAUUGAAUCAGGCAGGAUCAGGUAUUAUCUUUUCAUUAUCUUUUAUUGUACAUUGAACAUCUUUCAACUCUCCCAGAAGCAAGUGUCUGGUGAAAUGUGGGACUUCCGAACCACUCUGAUGCCAUGAGAUUAAGUAGAGACUGUGUUGAAAAAUGACUUUGGAGAGAGGUUUGGAAAUGAUGACUAGCUAUUAUUGUUUGGUCUAGGCAGUGACACAGUUGAUUGCUGCACCUUGGUUUUAUCAACAUCAUGGGAGAGGUGUUGUAAUAAUAGAACACGCAUUAUGUAGCUUUUUUUUUUUUUUGCCCCCAUUCACUAUUGAAGGACCUUUUUCCUGCUAUGUCUUCUAACUUCUCUUUGUUUCAACUGAUUUCCAGGGAAAAAUUCUCUUAUAUCCUUUUGAGCACAGACCUCUCAUGAUCUCUAUCACUGUCUCUAAUUAUCUAUCUAUAGAUAACAAUUUAAAACAUUGUUUGAUAUGUUUCAUAAUUUUUAUGUUAACUUGAAUGUUUUAAUUUAUUUAUAGAUAUUUUAUGAUGAGACUGAUAUAACCACAAUAAAAGAAAGUUUGGAAAUAGAUAAAAGAAAAAAAGUCACCCUUAGUCUUAUCAUUCUAAGGCUUUUUUUUUUUUUUCUGGUGCAUUUGAUUGAUUUUCCUUUCAAACUUUUAAUCCUAUGCAUAGGAACUUUUCUCCAAAAGUUGAGAUUCUAAUAUAUAUACAUGAAUUUCUAUAUGAUGUAAAUUGCAUCUUGAACCUUUGUAUGGUGCAAUAAAAUUUCCUUAAACAUCAUUUGAGUGAUAAUAUAAUAUAGCAUUGAGUUGACACAAUAGUUUACUUAUUAGUUUCCCAAUUCUUGGACAUUUAGGCUGUUUCAAUUUCUUUAAAAAUAAGUAACUAUAAACAACACAGACAUCUUUGACAAUGGAUAUGUUUGAACAUACUUGCUAUUUCUUCCUUGUUUUGCAUUUCCUUCCUUGGAACACAUUCCCGUUUGCUGAGUCACUGUUGGGUGAGGUGUGCUCUUUUUGUGUGUGCAGAAGCUGCAAGUGUGUGUUACUGUUGGUGGUAAGACUCCUUGUAGAGUAUUUGUAUUUUGGGCCACUCUUCUUCACUUAACCUGUGCCAAGAUCCCCGAUGGCUUGAGGGCUCUGUUGCUGCUUUUGGGGAAUCAUCUAUCUAGUUCAUAGCUGGUGCAUUUUGCCUAAUAAGUUGCAUAUUGAUUUUGCCAGUCUGAUGAGAUUUAAGGACAAGUGAAUAAAGGAGACAGGACAGAAUGGGUCUAAGACUCACACAAAGAGUUGGUUUAAGAGUCCUCAGACACCUCACAUCAUCAGUAACACUGCAUAUGUCAGUGAAAGAGUAGUGUGAGCACCAUAAAGUGGGCGUGGAGGAGCAGCUCUGUUGCACCGACCAGGGGCUGACGCAGGAGACUGUGAGACAGGAGAUUGUGUAGGGGACUCUCUAGCCACGUCACUGGGUCCUGGGUCUUGUCUGGGGAACAAGUUAUCAAGUUUUCCUAGAGUUAGGGGAAUGUGUCUCCACAAGCUGCUACUUUCCCUUUGUUCUGAAAAAUCUGACUAGCUCAGCUUCUUUGGUAUCUUGAUACCAGGACGGUGGCAGCACAUCGUGUACCUCACUGUGUUUGCCUCUAUUCUGGCUGCGAGGAGGCUACUCAAGAAAGAACACAGGACCCCCUGCUCUGCUUUGUGGGCUGACUUGACUCCCAAAGCCGUCUUGCUUUCUUAAUUUUAUUUGCUCUUUGCCUCAUCUUUUUAUUUUGGAUGUAUUUUCUCUUAUUAAAUGUUUGCAUAUUUCUAGGUAGCAUUAACUUUGUUUUGGAAUGAGUCAUGGCUUGAAUGCAGAAGGAGAGAUUGGCUUUCUGGUUUAGGGAUUGGUUCGGUUCUAUAGUAUGAGCUUGGCACUGAGAGACUGUGCAUCUUGGGUCCAGUGUCUGGAUCUGACUGAUCCGCAGUUAGGCAGUGGCUCCUGAUGGUUCAGCCUCAGCACUGUCCUGAGAUCCUGUCAUUAAAAAUUCAGCCCCUCGGUGGGAAUAUAAAUUGAUCCAGCCACUAUGGAAGACAGUAUGAGGAUUCCUUAAAAAACUAGGAAUAAAACCAUCAUGUGACCCAGCAAUACCACUCCUAGGCAUAUACCCUGAAUAAACCAAAAUUGAAAAAGACACAUGUACCCCAAUAUUCAUUGUAAAUAUAGCGAAGGCAUGGAAGCAACCUAGAUGUCCAUCGACAGAUGAAUGCAUAAAGCUGUGGUACAUAUGUACAAUGGAAAUAUUACUCAGCCAUGAAGAGCAACACAUCUGAAUCAGUUCUAAUGAGGUCGAUGAACCUAGAGCCUGUUUUACAGAGUGUAGUAAGUCAGAAAAAGAAAAACAAUAUCAUAUUUUAACGCACAUAUAUGGAAUCUUUCCUGGUGGCUCAGAGGUUAAAGCAUCUGCCUCCAGCGUGGGAGACCUGGGUUCAAUCCCUGGGUUGGAAAGCUCCCCUGGAGAAGGGAAUAGGUAACCCACUCCAGUAUUCUUGCCUGGAGAAUCCAAUGGACAGAGAAGCCUGGUGGGCUACAGUCCAUGGGGUUGCAAAGAGUCGGACACGACUGAGCGACUUCACUUACUUCACUACUUAGAUGAAUCUAGAAGGAUGGUAUUAAUGAAUCUGUUCACAGAGCAGCAGUGGAGAGGCAGACACAGAGAACAGACUUAUGGACAAGGGUGGAGGAGAAGAGGGAGGGGGUGAGAUGAAUGGAGAGAGCAGCAUGGACGCACAUACACUAACAAAUAGACAGCCAAUGGGAGUUAGCUGUAUGACUCAGGGAACUCACACUGGGGCUCUGUAAUAACUAGAGGGGUGAGAAUAGGCGGGAGGUGGGGGGGUCGGAGAUUCAAGAGGAGGAGACAUAUGUACACCUAUGGUUAAUUCAUGCUGAUGAGGGCAGAAAUCAAACCUAUAUUUUAAACCAAUCAUCAGUCAAUUAAAAAUAAAUAAAUACAAAAAAACCACAGAUGAAUGGAUACAGAAGUUGUGGUUCAUAUAUACAAUGGAAUAUUACUCAGCUGUAAAAAAGAAUGCAUUUGAGUUAGUAGAUAAAAAGGUUCUUUCCCUCUUAAGCUCUACCCUCCUCCACUUUGUGUCUUUUUAAAAUGGCAGGUGCUGCUGCUGCUGCUGCUAAGUCGCUUCAGUCGUGUCCGACUCUGUGUGACCCCAUAGACGGCAGCCCACAAGGCUUCCCCUGUCCCUGGGAUUCUCCAGGCAAGAACA